UACGGAGGAGGCAAGCGUUAUCCGGAAUUAUUGGGCGUAAAGCGUCCGCAGGUGGCACUUCAAGUCUGUCGUCAAAGACUGGGGCUUAACCCCGGAAAGGCAGUGGAAACUGAAGCGCUAGAGUGCGGUAGGGGUAGAGGGAAUUCCCGGUGUAGCGGUGAAAUGCGUAGAGAUCGGGAAGAACACCCGUGGCGAAGGCGGUUCUCUGGGACGGUACUGACGCUGAGACGCGAAAGCGUGGGGAGCGAACAGG
rnacentral:rRNA from 1 species